GAAGAUAUAGCUCAGUGGUACAGCACGUGCUUAGUGUGCACGAGGUCCUGGGCUCAAUUCUCAGUACCUCCA
rnacentral:tRNA from 1 species